rnacentral:rRNA from 1 species
UACAGAGGGUGCAAGCGUUAAUCGGAAUUACUGGGCGUAAAGCGUGCGUAGACGGUUACAUAAGUCGGGUGUGAAAGCCCCGGGCUCAACCUGGGAAUUGCAUUCGAGACUGCGUAGCUAGGGUGCGGAAGAGGGAAGCGGAAUUUCCGGUGUAGCGGUGAAAUGCGUAGAUAUCAGGAGGAACACCAAUGGCGAAGGCAGCACUCUGGGACGUGACUGACGCUGAGACGCGAAAGCGUGGGGGAGCAAACAGG